GUUUUACCCACUUCGGCUAAAAUCAGAUAUUUAUAGUGUUUUUCAUUCUUUUCGUGUCAUGGUAGAACGUCAGUUCUCACGUUCUAUCAAGGCAAUACAGUCAGAUUUAGGCGGUGAAUAUCGCCGUCUGCACAGUGUCUUUGAGUCCCUAGACAUUAUUGACC